rnacentral:rRNA from 1 species
AUUGAACGCUGGCGGAAUGCUUUACACAUGCAAGUCGAACGGCAGCACGGGUGCUUGCACCUGGUGGCGAGUGGCGAACGGGUGAGUAAUGUAUCGGAACGUAUCCAAUAAUGGGGGAUAACUAAUCGAAAGGUUGGCUAAUACCGCAUACGCCCUACGGGGGAAAGCAGGGGAUCUUCGGACCUUGCGUUAAUGGAGCGGCCGAUAUCUGAUUAGCUAGUUGGUGAGGUAAAGGCUCACCAAGGCGACGAUCAGUAGCUGGUCUGAGAGGACGACCAGCAACACUGGAACUGAGACACGGUCCAGACUCCGACGGGAGGCAGCAGUGGGGAAUUUUGGACAAUGGGGGCAACCCUGAUCCAGCCAUUCCGCGUGAGUGAAGAAGGCCUUCGGGUUGUAAAGCUCUUUCGCAAGGGAAGAAACGAUACAGUCUAAUAAACUGUGUUAAUGACGGUACCUUGAUAAGAAGCACCGGCUAACUACGUGCCAGCAGCCGCCGUAA